rnacentral:tRNA from 1 species
GGCUAGGUUAGCUCAGUUGGUAGAGCACCGGAUCGGCAAUCCGGAGGUUGCAGGUUCAAACCCUGCUCCAGUCA